rnacentral:rRNA from 1 species
ACAUACCGCCCGUCACCCUCCCCAAAAACUUAUCCCCCAAUAAAUAAUUCACCAUUUUUAACAAAGGGGAGGCAAGUCGUAACAAGGUAAGUGUACCGGAAGGUGCACUUGGAUUAAC